CCCUUAGAUGUCCGGGGCCGCACGCGCGCUACACUGAAGGAAUCAGCGUGGCUUUCUCCCUGACCCGAAAGGGUUGGGAAACCCGUUGAAUCUCCUUCGUGAUAGGGAUUGGGGCUUGAAAUUGUUCCCCAUGAACGAGGAAUUCCCAGUAAGCGCGAGUCAUAAGCUCGCGUUGAUUACGUCCCUGACCUUUGUACACACCGCCCGUCGCUACUACCGAUUGAACGGUUUAGUGAGGGCCUCGGAUUGGUCUCGGCCCGCUCUUUACCGGGCGGCGCCGUUGGUCGAGAAGACGCUCGAACUUGAUCGUUUAGAGGAAGUAAAAGUCGUAACA
rnacentral:rRNA from 1 species